GUGCCUAACACAUGCAAGUCGAGCGGUAACAGGUGUAGCAAUACAUGCUGACGAGCGGCGAACGGGUGAGUAAUGCUUCGGAAUCUGCCCAAUGGUGGGGAAUAACCAGCCGAAAGGUUGGCUAAUACCGCAUAAGUCCUACGGGGGAAAGCAGGGGAUCGUAAGACCUUGCGCCGAUGGAUGAGCCGAAGUCGGAUUAGCUAGUUGGUAGGGUAACGGCCUACCAAGGCGACGAUCCGUAGCUGGUCUGAGAGGACGACCAGCCACACUGGGACUGAGACACGGCCCAG
rnacentral:rRNA from 1 species